UGGGGAAUAUUGCGCAAUGGACGAAAGUCUGACGCAGCGACGCCGCGUGUGGGAUGAAGCCUUUCGGGGUGUAAACCACUGUUGCCCGGGACGAAACUCCUUUUUCGUGAGGAUUGACGGUACCGGGUGAGGAAGCACCGGCUAACUCUGUGCCAGCAGCCGCGGUAAUACAGAGGGUGCGAGCGUUGUCCGGAAUCACUGGGCGUAAAGGGCGCGUAGGUGGCUUGGUAAGCGUGUGGUGAAAGCCCGGGGCUCAACCCCGGGUCUGCCGUGCGAACUGCCUGGCUUGAGCGCAGUAGAGGCAGGUGGAAUUUCGGGUGUAGCGGUGGAAUGCGUAGAGAUCCGAAAGAACACCGGUGGCGAAGGCAGCCUGCUGGGCUACUGCUGACACUGAGGCGCGACAGCGUGGGGAGCAAACA
rnacentral:rRNA from 1 species